CCAUACCUUUAGAUAAUGAACACGGAUUGAGACCUACUCAAUCUUCUAACAGCAAUGGAAUAUUUUCCUGAGCCUCAGACCACUCGAAACAUAAGUAUGAGUACUCAGUUAGGAUUAGGCUAUUAGGGCAUAAAAUAGUUAAGUAAAAGUAAAAGGGAAAAUUGCAGCCAAGGUGACAAACCUUUCGUUUAUUAGCAGACUUUACCCAAACCUUUAGUUUGUACCACCGUGAGUACCAAACAUUUAAAAAAUGUGCAGCUAAAAUCUAAAUCGAUAGUUUCCGUUAGUUUGACUCCAAAAAUCAUCAAUUGACUCCAGAAAUUAAAAAUUUAAUAAUUUGACCAUGCAAGAUAGGGGCAUUUUGGAUAAAACGCAUUUUUCCUAUUAAAUCAAAAAAUAAAUAAAUAAAAUAAAUAAAACCACAACCCAUUUCCUUCUUCCCCAAAUCAAAACCACUCCUCCCAACCACCACAUUCCCCGCCGACAGCCACCACCACCAACCGGCAACCACCACCCAUUUCUCUCAAAACCUUAGGCUCCACAAAACCCACACAUCACUUUCAAUCUAGAAGGAAUCACUUGAGAGAAGUAAAUGAUCAAUUAUAGGAAUCUACGAAACCACUCAAGAGAGAAGAAUUUCAACCUUCGCUGAAGACCUACCAUUUUAAUCCAACAACCACCGUGGAUGAGCCAAUCAUAUUCCAGAUCCAGAUCCAGACCCAGAUCAGUCAAUCCCAUCGUGAUACUUCCAUUGUCGUCAGAUUCUGAUAAACCAGGUGACAUCACUUCCGACACGGACGACACCGUCAAUGGGAAUAACUACACAUUGAACCUGCCAGACGAAUGUCUGGCCUGGAUUUUCCAAUCGUUAUCCUCCGAGGAUCGGAAUCAGUUGGCCUUGAUGUGCUGUCGUUGUCUGAGAAUCGAUGGCCAAAGCCGAUUUGAGCAUACAUCCGCUAUCUCUAAAUUAUUUUUGCGCUUCGAUUCUGUCACUAAGCUCGCGCUGAAGUGCGACCGUAAAUUAGUCAACAUUGGCAAUGAUGCAUUGAUUCUAAUUUCUUUGAAGUGAAGGAAUCUCACCAGGUUGAAGGUUCGUGCCUGUCGAGCCAUAACUGAUGAUGGAAUGGUCAGUUUUGCCCAAAACCUUAAGCUCUGUGCCUUUUGUUUUCCUUGGAAGAAAUGUCGAUUAAGCGAUUGUCUAGCGUUGGGGUUGAGCCCGUCGAAUUUGAAAGUGAUGUGUGGGUUUUGUGGAGCUUAAGGUUUUGAGAGAAAUGGGUGGUGGUGAUGCCGGCUAGUAGUGGUGGCUGUCGGGGGGGAAUGUGGUGGUUAAGUGGAGCGGUUUCGAUUUAGGGAAGAAGGAAAUGGGUUGUGGUUUUAUUUAUUUUUAUUUUUUUAAUUUUUGAUUUAAUAGGAAAAAUGUGUUUUAUUCAAAAUGCCCCUGUCUUAU
rnacentral:lncRNA from 1 species